AAAGUCGUAACAAGGUUUCCGUAGGUGAACCUGCGGAAGGAUCAUUACCAGUGCCGCCGGCGCCGGCGCCCCCGGGCGUCCCGCCGGUCUGAGCCCCACCCGUGAACACGAAACCCCACGUUGCCUCGGCGCGCGCUUCGGCGCCCGCCGGGGGAGACUGAACCUCUGAAGUGAACGUGACCGUCUGAGUGAUUUGAUAAUCAAUUAAAACUUUCAACAACGGAUCUCUUGGUUCCG
rnacentral:misc_RNA from 1 species